CUGCAGUGGGAAAAGUGCGAUCCCCAACAACGCAAGCGGAGGAGCCCUCGGAGCCGGAUCUGGAGAGUCGGACUUUAAUGGACGACCAAGAGAUCUGACGUCCCGCAAGAGAGAAAGGGAAGCGAAGAGAGAGAAUGGUGUGUCAAUAGCGGUGAGAGUGAAAGAGUUUGGCUUUGCGAAAGUGCUAAGAGACAGAGAGCCCAGAAAGUGACAGUAAAAGUGAAAGCUCAAGGAGGCACACGGACAGUGAAAUAAUGAGCAGAGCAGAACAGGGAGAGGAAGAAAGGGGGUGCCAGCAACUGUGAAGAAAGAACAAAAGAGAAGAAAAAGUAAGAGAUUAACUGUGUUUUGUUGGAGGAGGUGAAAGUGAUUAAACUGGGAGUGUGGUUGAAAUUCGAGCUUUCAAAAGAAUAACACUGUUGCAGCAGACGAAACAAAGCAGAGAAAAAAAAUAAGGACAGGAGAGUGACUCUCACUGUGCACAAUUGUAAGAGCCGGACAUUUUGAAAGUGGAAAGUUAAAAUUAAAUCUUUAAGACUACAGUUUUCAGCACUACAGUAAGAUACAGCAACCGGAUUGGAGUUUCAAAAAAUAAUUUUGUUUGAAAUCAACUGUCAGGUUGGAUUAUUACAUUUAAAAAUAUUGUGGUUAAAUUUUUUUCUUUUUUCUUUUUCUUUACCUCUCUUUUGGUGGUGCAUUAUAUUCAAUGUUAAUAAUAUUAAAACAUUCAUGUUAAUAUAGAUAAUAUUGAAUAGAAUUUAAAGAAGAGUAUAUAAUUAAGGGAUUGGUUCUGCAAAACAAUUUAAAGAAAAUAAUAUAGUGAACGUAAAAGGAUUGUAAAAAUUGAUACAACUUAGAUUCAGUGUUUUUCUCAGCAAAGUAUAAUUGUUAUCAAAAGUAUAUUGGGAUAUUGAACUGGGACUUUAUAGAAUUAUAUUGAUUGUUAGAAAUAGGAUAUUGAUUGUACAACUAUAUGUUAAAUUGCCAAUUAAUUAAAUCAGGAGAACAUUGAACGGUGUUGUGGGAAAAGAUAGAAAAAAAUACUAGGACAGCAACAUAAAAUACUGCAAGAAAUGACAAGUUUCACAACAACUACAGUGAAGACUCGGAAGAAACCCAUUCCAGCAACAGCAACAGCUAUACCAUCCCCAUCUACACAAAGAUCUAUAGAAGGAAUGUUCACAACAGACAAAACAACCUCUGCGACGAACGCACAGACCAUGCAGGCUACAUUAUUAUCUAUACAAGAAACAAUGAUAAAAGCUACAGGAAAAUAUGACUAGAAACCACAGAGAAAUGAAGAUUGAAAGGGAGGAAGUGAAAAGAGAAGUCAGAAAUGAUAUUCAGAAGCUGGAUGAGAAGGUGGGGCUGAUCCAAGAGGUUUUACAAAAAAACGACCAGACUGCAAAUGA